rnacentral:rRNA from 1 species
UGGGGAAUAUUGCGCAAUGGGCGAAAGCCUGACGCAGCGACGCCGCGUGGGGGAUGAAGGCCUUCGGGUUGUAAACCCCUUUCAGCAGGGACGAAGCGAAAGUGACGGUACCUGCAGAAGAAGCGCCGGCUAACUACGUGCCAGCAGCCGCGGUAAUACGUAGGGCGCAAGCGUUGUCCGGAAUUAUUGGGCGUAAAGAGCUCGUAGGCGGUCUGUUACGUCUGCUGUGAAAACCCAGGGCUUAACCCUGGGCUUGCAGUGGAUACGGGCAGACUAGAGGCAGGUAGGGGAGAAUGGAAUUCCCGGUGUAGCGGUGAAAUGCGCAGAUAUCGGGAGGAACACCGGUGGCGAAGGCGGUUCUCUGGGCCUGACCUGACGCUGAGGAGCGAAAGCGUGGGGAGCGAACAGGAUUAGAUACC